AUGUCUCCUCUCCUCCUGGUGCUUCUCUCUCACUGCACAGGUUCCCUCUCCCAGCCUGUGGUCACUCAGCAGUCCUCCCUCUCUGCUUCUCUGGGAGCAACAGCCAGACUCACCUGCACCCUCAGCAGUGGCUUCAGUGUUCGCUACUCUGUUAUAUCCUGGUACCAGCAGAAGCCAGGAAGCCCUCCCAGGUAUCUCCUAUCCUACUACAGCGAUUCAUUAAAGGACCAAGGAUCCGGGGUCCCCAGCCGCUUCACUGGAUCCAAGGACGCCUCGGCCAAUGCAGGGGUCCUGACCAUCUCGGGGCUGCAGCCAGAGGACGAGGCCGACUACUACUGUCUGUCUUCUGAUACUAGUGGUAAUCACACAGUGCUGCAGACUCAGGGGAAGUGA